AAUCCUCAAAAACCCUUUUCCUGUCAGGAAUGGGAUUUUUGGACUUGGAGGUUCAAUGCUUGCCUUUCACUUUUGAAAGUGAGCUCCUCUCAAAUGAAUUAGUGGGGUCCGCUUUGCUGAUCCUUAACGUGAUAAGAUGCUUCUACGUUUUGGAUCUAGCACUGUCCCUUGGAUGCCUGCUCCUAACUGUCCCACACGGACAAUGAUGGUGCUCUGGUCACCGCCAUCUACAUUGGCGGGAGGCUGGACCCACAAAACGAAAA
rnacentral:misc_RNA from 1 species